AAAAUCCGUCGACUUUUAAAAUCGUGAGGGUUCAGAGUCCCUCUAUCCCC
rnacentral:tRNA from 1 species